CACACGCCCCACCUCUUUCGCCCCUUUCACCGUACCGCCCCCCUGUCAUAAUCGCCCUACUCGCCGACUCACCUACCCGUAUCUGCAACUCGUAGAAUCCGCCGCCAGUCACCCUUCGUGAAGUUGAGAUUUUGAAUUUUACGGUUUGCGAUUCAAAGUAAUUUCAUCACAUGCCCUGCAAUUAGCCUUUGAUUCGGGUUGCUGUUUGUAAUUGAAGAAGAUAACCAUGCUAUGCGAGCUGCUAGCGAGUCAUGCUCCCAUGUGUUUCUUUAGUUUCAGAAUGUUAGUUGUCAGACAACUAAGGGGUUUCUUCAGUUGAAUUUCUAGAUGUAGAGAAAGACCAGACGCUGGUACAGUACUUUGCAGAGCUCAUACGCACAAGCAUAAACAAGCUGGAGGAGGAGGAAUUUUGAGAUAACAUAGAUUUUUACUAGGAAGUGUAAUUGAUCUACAUCUUCUUUGGUCUUUGAAACUUUUGUGUAUAUAGUUUGAAAUUUUCUUGUUACUUGUUAGAGAACAUAUUGAUUGAAAUAUUAUAACGUAGUUGUAUUUUUGGAAUCUUCUAACAUUAUAUUGAUAUGCAUGUGAUUUUGUA